AAUCGAGGCCCCGUAAUUGGAAUGAGUACACUUUAAAUCCAUUAACGAGGAUCAAUUGGAGGGCAAGUCUGGUGCCAGCAGCCGCGGUAAUUCCAGCUCCAAUAGCGUAUAUUAAAGUUGUUGCAGUUAAAAAGCUCGUAGUUGGAUCUCAGGAUUUGGAUGGAUGGUUCGCUUUCGGGCGCUACUAUCUGUCUGACCUACUCUAGUCGUGGAUGCCUUGGGUGCUCUUAAUUGAGUGCUUUUGGUGCCCGACGCAAUUACUUUGAAAAAAUUAGAGUGCUCAAAGCAGGCGUAUUGCCUGAAUAGUGUUGCAUGGAAUAAUGAAAUAGGAGUUUACUUCUAUUUUGUUGGUUUUCGGAGGUGAACUAAUGAUUAACAGGGACAGACGGGGGCAUUUGUAUGGAGGGGUUAGAGGUGAAAUUCUUGGAUCCUCUCCAGACAAACUACUGCGAAAGCAUUUGCCAGGAAUGUUUUCACUAAUCAAGAACGAAAGUCAGAGGUUCGAAGACGAUCAGAUACCGUCCUAGUUCUGACCAUAAAUGAUGCCAUCUAACAAUCCACGAAGUUUGCUUGUACGAACUCGUGGGCGGUCCCCGGGAAACCAAAGAUUUUGGGUUCCGGGGGAAGUAUGGUUGCAAAGCUGAAACUUAAAGGAAUUGACGGAAGGGCACCACCAGGAGUGGAGCCUGCGGCUUAAUUUGACCCAACACGGGAAACCUCACCCGGCCCGGACACUUUUAGGAUUGACAGAUUGAAGGCUCUUUCUUGAUCAAGUGGUUGGUGGUGCAUGGCCGUUCUUAGUUGGUGGAGCGAUUUGUCUGGUUAAUUCCGAUAACGUACGAGACUCUACUCUGCUAAAUAGAACGUUGAUAUAUAAAAGUCAGUGCUGACUUCUUAGAGAGACUAACGGCGUUUAGCCGUGUGAGAAAGAGCAAUAACAGGUCUGUGAUGCCCUUAGAUGUCCGGGGCCGCACGCGCGCUACACUGACUGCAGUAACUAGUAUGCUCCUGGUUUGAAAAAACUGGGUAACCUGGUUGAAUUGCAGGCGUGACAGGGAUCAGAGUUUGCAAUUAUCCUCUGUGAACGAGGAAUUCCCAGUAAGCGCAAGACAUUAGCUUGUGCUGAUUACGUCCCUGCCCUUUGUACACACCGCCCGUCGCUACUACCGAUUGAAUGGUUUAGUGAGGUCUUCGGAUUGGUGCUGAUGGAGUGGUUCUCUGCUCUGUUAGUGCCGAGAAGAUGAUCAAACUUGAUCAUUUAGAGGAAGUAAAAGUCGUAACAAGGU
rnacentral:rRNA from 1 species